rnacentral:misc_RNA from 1 species
GAUGAAGAACGUAGCGAAAUGCGAUAGGUAAUGUGAAUUGCAGAAUUCAGUGAAUCAUCGAAUCUUUGAACGCACAUUGCGCCCGCCAGUAUUCUGGCGGGCAUGCCUGUUCGAGCGUCAUUUCAACCAUCAAGCCCCCGGCUUGUGUUGGGGACCUGCGGCUGCCGCAGGCCCUGAAAAGCAGUGGCGGGCUCGCUGUCACACCGAGCGUAGUAGCAUACAUCUCGCUCUGGGCGUGCUGCGGGUUCCGGCCGUUAAACCACCUUCAUAACCCAAGGUUGACCUCGGAUCAGGUAGGAAGACCCGCUGAACUUAAGCAUAUCAAUAGCGGAGGA